rnacentral:rRNA from 1 species
AACGAACGCUGGCGGCAGGCUUAACACAUGCAAGUCGAACGCACCGCAAGGUGAGUGGCAGACGGGUGAGUAACACGUGGGGAUCUGCCCAAUGGUACGGAAUAGCUCCGGGAAACUGGAAUUAAUACCGUAUGAGCCCGCAAGGGGAAAGAUCUAUCGCCAUUGGAUGAACCCGCGUCGGAUUAGCUAGUUGGUGUGGUAAAGGCGCACCAAGGCGACGAUCCGUAGCUGGUCUGAGAGGAUGAUCAGCCACACUGGGACUGAGACACGGCCCAGACUCCUACGGGAGGCAGCAGUGGGGAAUAUUGGACAAUGGGCGCAAGCCUGAUCCAGCCAUGCCGCGUGAGUGAUGAAGGCCUUAGGGUUGUAAAGCUCUUUCGCCGACGAAGAUAAUGACGGUAGUCGGAGAAGAAGCCCCGGCUACCUUCGUGCCAGCCGCCGCGGUAAAAC